rnacentral:rRNA from 1 species
UGAAGAGUUUGAUCAUGGCUCAGAUUGAACGCUGGCGGCAGGCCUAACACAUGCAAGUCGAACGGUAACAGGAAGCAGCUUGCUGCUUUGCUGACGAGUGGCGGACGGGUGAGUAAUGUCUGGGAAACUGCCUGAUGGAGGGGGAUAACUACUGGAAACGGUGGCUAAUACCGCAUAACGUCGCAAGACCAAAGAGGGGGACCUUCGGGCCUCUUGCCAUCAGAUGUGCCCAGAUGGGAUUAGCUUGUUGGUGAGGUAACGGCUCACCAAGGCGACGAUCCCUAGCUGGUCUGAGAGGAUGACCAGCCACACUGGAACUGAGACACGGUCCAGACUCCUACGGGAGGCAGCAGUGGGGAAUAUUGCACAAUGGGCGCAAGCCUGAUGCAGCCAUGCCGCGUGUAUGAAGAAGGCCUUCGGGUUGUAAAGUACUUUCAGCGGGGAGGAAGGUGUUGUGGUUAAUAACCGCAGCAAUUGACGUUACCCGCAGAAGAAGCACCGGCUAACUCCGUGCCAGCAGCCGCGGUAAUACGGAGGGUGCAAGCGUUAAUCGGAAUUACUGGGCGUAAAGCGCACGCAGGCGGUCUGUCAAGUCGGAUGUGAAAUCCCCGGGCUCAACCUGGGAACUGCAUUCGAAACUGGCAGGCUUGAGUCUUGUAGAGGGGGGUAGAAUUCCAGGUGUAGCGGUGAAAUGCGUAGAGAUCUGGAGGAAUACCGGUGGCGAAGGCGGCCCCCUGGACAAAGACUGACGCUCAGGUGCGAAAGCGUGGGGAGCAAACAGGAUUAGAUACCCUGGUAGUCCACGCCGUAAACGAUGUCUACUUGGAGGUUGUGCCCUUGAGGCGUGGCUUCCGGAGCUAACGCGUUAAGUAGACCGCCUGGGGAGUACGGCCGCAAGGUUAAAACUCAAAUGAAUUGACGGGGGCCCGCACAAGCGGUGGAGCAUGUGGUUUAAUUCGAUGCAACGCGAAGAACCUUACCUGGUCUUGACAUCCACGGAAGAAUUCAGAGAUGGAUUUGUGCCUUCGGGAACCGUGAGACAGGUGCUGCAUGGCUGUCGUCAGCUCGUGUUGUGAAAUGUUGGGUUAAGUCCCGCAACGAGCGCAACCCUUAUCCUUUGUUGCCAGCGGUCCGGCCGGGAACUCAAAGGAGACUGCCAGUGAUAAACUGGAGGAAGGUGGGGAUGACGUCAAGUCAUCAUGGCCCUUACGACCAGGGCUACACACGUGCUACAAUGGCGCAUACAAAGAGAAGCGACCUCGCGAGAGCAAGCGGACCUCAUAAAGUGCGUCGUAGUCCGGAUUGGAGUCUGCAACUCGACUCCAUGAAGUCGGAAUCGCUAGUAAUCGUGGAUCAGAAUGCCACGGUGAAUACGUUCCCGGGCCUUGUACACACCGCCCGUCACACCAUGGGAGUGGGUUGCAAAAGAAGUAGGUAGCUUAACCUUCGGGAGGGCGCUUACCACUUUGUGAUUCAUGACUGGGGUGAAGUCGUAACAAGGUAACCGUAGGGGAACCUGCGGUUGGA